rnacentral:rRNA from 1 species
CCUACGUGAGGCAGCAGUGGGGAAUAUUGGGCAAUGGGCGCAAGCCUGACCCAGCAACGCCGCGUGAAGGAAGAAGGCUUUCGGGUUGUAAACUUCUUUUCUCAGGGACGAAGCAAGUGACGGUACCUGAGGAAUAAGCCACGGCUAACUACGUGCCAGCCGCCGCGGCAAUACGUAGGUGGCAAGCGUUAUCCGGAUUUACUGGGUAUAAAGGGCGUGUAGGCGGGACUGCAAGUCAGAUGUGAAAACCACGGGCGCAACCUGUGGCCUGCAUUUGAAACUGUAGUUCUUGAGUACUGGAGAGGCAGAGGGAAUCACUAGGGUAGCGGUGAAAUGCGUAGAUAUUAGGAGGAACACCAGGGGCGAAGGCGGUCUGCUGGACAGCAACUGACGCUGAGGCGCGAAAGCGUGGGGAGCAAACAGGAUUAGAUACCCUUGUAGUC